AUGAGAGUUCUUCCUGAGUUCCUGGGGCUGCUGCUGCUCUGGAUUUCAGGUGUGAGAUGUGACAUCCAGAUGACCCAGUCUCCAUCCACUCUGUCUGCAUCUCUUGGAGACAGAGUCACCAUCACUUGCCAUGCCAGUCAGAACAUCAAGAGUUGGUUAGCCUGGUGCCAGCAGAAACCAGGGAAUUCUCCUAAACUAUUGAUCUAUGAGGCAACCAAACUUCAAAUAGGAUUCAGUGGCAGUGGAUAUGGGACAGAUUUUACUAUCUCUAUUAGCAGCCUGCAGUCUGAAGACAUUGUGAUUUACCAUUGUCUAUAGCAUGAGACCUGUUGA